AUUGAACGCUGGCGGCAGGCCUAACACAUGCAAGUCGAACGAGUGGCGGACGGGUGAGUAAUGUCUGGGAAACUGCCCGUUGGAGGGGGAUAACUACUGGAAACGGUAGCUAAUACCGCAUACCAUCAGAUGUGCCCAGAUGGGAUUGGCUCGUGGGUGGGGUAUCGGCUCACCUAGGCGACGAUCCCUAGCUGGUCUGAGAGGAUGACCAGCCACACGGGAACGGAGACACGGUCCAGACUCCUACGGGAGGCAGCAGUGGGGAAGAGUGCACAAUGGGCGCAAGCCUGAUGCAGCCAUGCCGCGUGUGUGAAGAAGGCCUUCGGGUUGUAAAGUACUUUCAGCGGGGAGGCGUUACCCGCAGAAGAAGCACCGGCUAACUCCGUGCCAGCAGCCGCGGUAAUAC
rnacentral:rRNA from 1 species